GAUGAAGAACGUAGCGAAAUGCGAUAAGUAAUGUGAAUUGCAGAAUUCAGUGAAUCAUCGAAUCUUUGAACGCACCUUGCGCCCUUUGGCCAUUCCGAAGGGCAUGCCUGUUUGAGUAUCAUGAACACCUCAACUCUUCAUGGUUUUCCAUGAUGAGCUUGGACUUUGGGGGUCUUGCUGGCCUGUGGGUCGGCUCCUCUCAAAUGAAUCAGCUUGCCGGUUUUUGGUGGGCAUCACAGGUGUGAUAACUAUCUACGCUUGUGGUUUUCCACCAGGGUAACCUUCAGCAGUGGAGGUUCACUGGAGCUUACAAAUGUCUCUCCUCUGUGAGGACAGCCCUUUGAAUGUUUGAUCUCAAAUCAGGUAGGACUACCCGCUGAAAUUAAGCAUAUCAAUAAGCGGAGGA
rnacentral:misc_RNA from 1 species